GGGCGUAAGCGCGCGCAGGCGGUUUCUUAAGUCUGAUGUGAAAGCCCACGGCUCAACCGUGGAGGGUCAUUGGAAACUGGGGAACUUGAGUGCAGAAGAGAAAAGCGGAAUUCCACGUGUAGCGGUGAAAUGCGUAGAGAUGUGGAGGAACACCAGUGGCGAAGGCGGCUUUUUGGUCUGUAACUGACGCUGAGGCGCGAAAGCGUGGGGAGCAAACAGGAUUAGAUACCCUGGUAGUCCACGCCGUAGGCGAUGAGUGCUAAGUGUUAUAGGGUUUCCGCCCUUUAGUGCUGCA
rnacentral:rRNA from 1 species